GACGAACGCUGGCGGCGUGCUUAACACAUGCAAGUCGAACGGAAAGGCCCUGCUUUUGUGGGGUGCUCGAGUGGCGAACGGGUGAGUAACACGUGAGUAACCUGCCCUUGACUUUGGGAUAACUUCAGGAAACUGGGGCUAAUACCGGAUAGGAGCUCCUGCUGCAUGGUGGGGGUUGGAAAGUUUCGGCGGUUGGGGAUGGACUCGCGGCUUAUCAGCUUGUUGGUGGGGUAGUGGCUUACCAAGGCUUUGGCGGGUAGCCGGCCUGAGAGGGUGACCGGCCACAUUGGGACUGAGAUACGGCCCAGACUCCUACGGGAGGCAGCAGUGGGGAAUAUUGCACAAUGGGCGGAAGCCUGAUGCAGCAACGCCGCGUGCGGGAUGGCGGCCUUCGGGUUGUAAACCGCUUUCGCCUGUGACGAAGCGUGAGUGACGGUAAUGGGUAAAGAAGCACCGGCUAACUACGUG
rnacentral:rRNA from 1 species